AACGAACGCUGGCGGCAUGCCUAACACAUGCGAGUCGAACGAGACCUUCGGGUCUAGUGGCGCACGGGUGCGUAACGCGUGGGAACCUGCCUUUAGGUUCGGAAUAACUCAGAGAAAUUUGAGCUAAUACCGGAUGAUGUCUUCGGACCAAAGAUUUAUCGCCUUUAGAUGGGCCCGCGUUGGAUUAGCUAGUUGGUGGGGUAAAGGCCUACCAAGGCGACGAUCCAUAGCUGGUCUGAGAGGAUGAUCAGCCACACUGGGACUGAGACACGGCCCAGACUCCUACGGGAGGCAGCAGUGGGGAAUAUUGGACAAUGGGCGAAAGCCUGAUCCAGCAAUGCCGCGUGAGUGAUGAAGGCCUUAGGGUUGUAAAGCUCUUUUACCCGAGAUGAUAAUGACAGUAGCGGGAGAAUAAGCGCCGGCUAACUCCGUG
rnacentral:rRNA from 1 species